CAGAUCCAACCUUGUUCCCAGGCUCUUUGCUCUUGUGAAGCAAAGAGCAAAGAGCCUGGGAACGAGGUUGGAUCAGAUC